GAUGUUACCAAGCUCAAACUACCACU
rnacentral:piRNA from 1 species